rnacentral:rRNA from 1 species
UACGUAGGGUGCAAGCGUUGUCCGGAAUUAUUGGGCGUAAAGAGCUCGUAGGCGGUUUGUCGCGUCGGCUGUGAAAACUCGGGGCUCAACCCCGAGCCUGCAGUCGAUACGGGCAGACUAGAGUGUUGUAGGGGAGACUGGAAUUCCUGGUGUAGCGGUGAAAUGCGCAGAUAUCAGGAGGAACACCGGUGGCGAAGGCGGGUCUCUGGGCAGUAACUGACGCUGAGGCACGAAGGUCAGGGGAGCAAACGGG